AAGACCUUGCACUUUUGGAGCGGCCGAUGUCUGAUUAGCUAGUUGGUGGGGUAAUGGCCUACCAAAGCUUCGAUCAGUAGCUGGUCUGAGAGGACGGCCAGCCACACUGGGACUGAGACACGGCCCAGACUCCUACGGGAGGCAGCAGUGGGGAAUUUUGGACAAUGGGCGCAAGCCUGAUCCAGCCAUGCCGCGUGAGUGAAGAAGGCCUUCAGGUUGUAAAGCUCUUUCAGUCGGGAAGAAAAGGUUGCGACUAAUAAUCGCAAUUCAUGACGGUACCGAAAGAAGAAGCACCGGCUAACUACGUGCCAGCAGCCGCGGUAAUACGUAGGGUGCGAGCGUUAAUCGGAAUUACUGGGCGUAAAGGGUGCGCAGGCGGUUUUGUAAGUCAGAUGUGAAAUCCCCGGGCUUAACCUGGGAACU
rnacentral:rRNA from 1 species